ACAAGGGUGGAGAUGUCCACCCACCAGGGAGACGUCCCUGAUGGGACGGGCAACCUCUUAAGAAAAGGAAGAGAGACCAGAGGUUCCUCCUUUUGCUCUUUGAGGAUGCAGCAAACCAUCUACAAUCCAGGAAGAGCGCCCUCACCAAGAACUAAAUCUGCAGGCACUGUGAUCUUCUUCCAGCUUCCAGAACUGCGAGGAAUAAAUGUCUACUGGCUGGUAUGGACUUGUGACUUGCUUAGAGACUAAUUGAAGAAAUAAUGUCGAACAACUUCUGAGCAGGGCCUCAAGAGACCCUGAAGCUUCUAUUCUCACCCUUUUGGAACCAUGAGGAUGCUGUGCUAUGAAGAAACUCGGGCUGGCGGCACUGACUGGCUCAGUCAGUACAGCGUGCAACCCUUGAUCUCAGGGCUGCGAGUUCAAGCCCCACACUGGGCAGGGAGCUUAAACAAACAAACAAUUAAACAAAUUCAGGAUAACUGACGUACCACAUGGAGACAGCGGCUCAGCCCCCCUCUAGCUGACCGAGCCAUCAGGGCUAAGGUCUCAGACCUGUGACGGCCACGAGGGGCCAUCCAGGCCCAGGCUAGACGUCAGCUGACUGCCAUCACUUGAGUAAUCUAGAUCAGAUCAGCAGAAAAACCACCUGGCCGCCCUCCGAAUCUAGAGAAACAAUAAAUCGUUGUUCUACGCCA